GAUGAAGAACGUAGCGAAAUGCGAUACUUGGUGUGAAUUGCAGAAUCCCGUGAACCAUCGAGUCUUUGAACGCAAGUUGCGCCUCAAGCCAUUAGGUUGAGGGCACGUCUGCCUGGGCGUCACAUAUCGUUGCCUGAUGCCAGUUUCCUCGUGAUGGGUGACUGUGCAGGGCGAAUGAUGGCUUCCCGUGAGCAUUGUUGCCUCAUGGUUGGUUGAAAAUUGAGUCCUUGGUAGGGAGCGCCGUGAUAGAUGGUGGUUGAGUGACGAACGAGACCCAAUCAUGUGAGACCCCUACCGAAUUUGGCCUUCAUGACCCACAUGCGUCUUUGGAACGCUCAUGACGAGACCUCAGGUCAGGCGGGGCUACCCGCUGAGUUAAAGCAUAUCAAUAAGCGGAGGA
rnacentral:misc_RNA from 1 species